rnacentral:rRNA from 1 species
UACGUAGGCAGCAAGCGUUGUUCGGAGUUACUGGGCGUAAAGAGUGCGUAGGUGGUUUUUUAAGUUCGGUGUGAAAUCUCCCGGCUCAACUGGGAGGGUGCGCCGAAAACUGGAGAACUUGAGUGCGGGAGAGGAGAGCGGAAUUCCUGGUGUAGCGGUGAAAUGCGUAGAUAUCAGGAGGAACACCUGUGGUGCAGACGGCUCUCUGGACCGCCACUGACACUGAGGCACGAAAGCGUGGGGAGCAAACAGG